CCUACGGGGGGCAGCAGUGAGGAAUAUUGGUCAGUGGACGAGAGUCUGAACCAGCCAAGUAGCGUGAAGGAUGACUGCCCUAUGGGUUGUAAACUUCUUUUAUAUGGGAAUAAAAUGUUCCACGUGUGGGAUUUUGUAUGUACCAUAUGAAUAAGGAUCGGCUAACUCCGUGCCAGCAGCCGCGGUAAUACGGAGGAUCCGAGCGUUAUCCGGAUUUAUUGGGUUUAAAGGGAGCGUAGGUGGAUUGUUAAGUCAGUUGUGAAAGUUUGCGGCUCAACCGUAAAAUUGCAGUUGAAACUGGCAGUCUUGAGUACAGUAGAGGUGGGCGGAAUUCGUGGUGUAGCGGUGAAAUGCUUAGAUAUCACGAAGAACUCCGAUUGCGAAGGCAGUUCACUGGACUGCAACUGACACUGAGGCUCGAAAGUGUGGGUAUCAAACAGGAUUAGAUACCCGUGUAGUC
rnacentral:rRNA from 1 species